rnacentral:lncRNA from 1 species
AGUGGUAUAAACACAACAUACAGCUCACUGCAGCCUCAAUCUUCUGGGCUUAAGCGAUUCUCCCACCUCAGCCUCCCAAGUAGCUGAGACUACAGGUGUGUGCCACCAUGCCCAACUAAUUUUUUUAUUUUUUUGUAGAGACGAGGUUUCACCAUUUUGCCCAGGCUGGUCUCAAAUGCCUGGGCUUAGGCAAUCCUCCCACCUCAGCCUCCCAAAAUGCUGGGAUUACAGGCAUGAGCCACCAUGCCCAGUCUGGUCUUCAUUCUUAAAUAGGAAUGGACAACCAAUGGUUACUGACAUUUGAGAAAGCCUUGCAGCUACAAUAAUAAAAACUAAAUUAAAAACUGAAAAGUACAUUCUGGAAUUAUAUAGAAAGAAAUGUAAUCUUACACACAGCCAGAUUUUUUAAUGAGCAGUCUUUAUAUAGUCCUAGUAGUAUAAAUGUUAUUUUUUAAUUUUACUCUUUUGUAAUCAACCUACUGACAUAGCCCAAAGACCUAAUUUUGGCUACAGAGAUUAAUUUAAAUAUUAAUCCUUGAUAACUUAAAAAUGAAUGUACAACUGACAGAAGUUAGAUGGUAGAAGGGAGAUAAGACGGGAGAAGGAAAGAAUAUAGGUGCUGAUAUCCUUUUUUACAAAACAAAGAGAUCACUGCCAAGUAACAAUGGAAUCUGCAAUAAAUAUCGAAGUAUAUUACUGAAAGUUAGAAAGUUUAUGUGUUGCAGAAUUUAAAAUGAUGAUAAUUACCAACUGUUAAAAACUGAAUGAGGUGGAGAUACAGGUUAACAUGUACUGCUAUACAUGUAUAUUGGAAUUAAAUAAGUAAAUGGACAAGAGAUCAUGGGAGUCAGGUUUCUUAUUCUUGGGGUUGGAGGCCAGAGAUAAUCGAGGGCAAGUGGCGAGAAUGCUCCAUGUGGCGAUGGAUUAGAGUUGCUUACUUAAGCAUAAACUCAUGUUUUGCUUAAUAUAGAUACAGUGAUUACAUAUAAAGAUACGCAUGUAUCACAAGUUAGUAAAUAUACAUGAAUCUUCUUGCUCUGUCAGCUGAGACAGCCUAGAAGCAACCACAUUCCAGUAGCAAUGAGCACACCUAGUGCCCAGAUCUUGGAUCUUGAUUUCUAACACCAUUCUCCAAAGAACCAGAGAAAUGGCUGAUUCUAAGACUGGGAAAGAAAAUAUACAAGUAAGUUUGGAGCAUCACCAGAAAGUAAGAAAGUGCUCAAAAAAAAAAAUUCACAGUGAUGGGAGUAUCAAAGGAACCAACUGAAAGAUUUCAAGAUUUCCCAAUGGCCAAGGCUGGAAGAAUUUGAGCAAAAAAAAAAAAAAAAAAAAAAGGUAUUAAAUUAUAGCCCAAAGUACAAAAUAAAUAUCCAUUAAUCCUGACUGAUAGAAAUAAAUGAUUGAAUAAAUGAAUUAACGACAGAGAAAAGUCUCCUGUUGGCCAGGCGCGGUGGCUCACGCCUGUAAUCCCAGCACUUCAGCAGGCUGAGAUGUGUGGAUCACCUGAGGUCAGGAGUUCGAGACCAGCUAGGCCAACAUGGUGAAACCACGUCUCCACUAAAAAUACAAAAAUUAGCCAGGCGUGGUGGCACGUUCCUGUAAUCCCAGCUCCUUGGGAGGCUGAGGCAGGAGAAUCACUUGAACCCAGGAGGCGGAGGUUGAAGUAAGCUGAGAUCGGAUCGCACCACUGCACUCCAGCCUGGGCCACAGAGCUAGAUUCCACCUCAAAAAAAAAAAAAAAAAAAGGAAAGUCUCCUCCUGUGCAAAAAAGCUCCAAAUAAAUUCUGUAGUAUUCCAACCUAAAGAAGGUGAGGCAUAACUCCUACUCCUUAAUUAUGGGCUGUGCUUAGUGACUUCCUUCCAAAGAAGGAGAAUUGCUUGAACCCGGGAGACGGAGGUUCUGUGAGCCAUGACCAUGCCACUAUUGGGCACAUACUAACAUUUACUGGGCAGUUCCUUACUGCUAGGCAUCAAAUACUUUACAGAAUAAACUCAGUUAAUCCUUACAUCCACCCUGUAAAUUGGUAUUACCAUUAACUCCAGGCUACAGAUGGGUAAACUGAGAGAGGCUGAGUGCCACUAAUCCUCCUUCUCACAGUUGGGAAGUGGUGGACCUGGGCUUCAAGAAUGUGCCCACUUGGUCGGGCAUGGUGGCUCUCACCUGUAAUCGCAGCACUUUGGGUGGCUGAGGCCAGGGGAUCACUUCCGAUCAAGUGUUCAAGACCAGCCUGGCCAACAUGGUAUAACCCCAUCUCUACCAAAAACUACAAAAAUUAGCAGGGCGUGGUGGAGCAUGCCUGCAGUCCCAGCUGCUAGGGAGGUUGAGGUGGCAGAAUUGCUUGAACCUGGAGGUGGAGGUUGUUGUGAGCCGAGAUCACGCCACUGCACUCCAGCCUGAGUGACAGAAUGAGACCUUGUCUCAAAAAAAAAAAAAAAAAAAAAAAGUGCACCCUUAACUUCCAUUCCCAUCUGCCUGUCAAUAGUUGUUAUUUCAUAAUCAGAAAAUAUGUUUUAAAAACCCCUUAUCAUCUACCCUGUGCUUCCUACAGUUGAAAUUCAGAAAUGUUGAUAUUUUAGCAUUUGAAUGUGGCUCUUAGGGUAAAGUGCCUCACCUAAUGGUAGAAGUGAAGCAUUAUUUAAGAUUAUGGUUUUUGUAUUUCUUGGCUUUGUAGGCAAACCUGAGUUCCAGCUACAAGGUGCUGUCUGCAGUUUGCCCAUCUGGAGCUUUGCUUGGUUUUGCAAUGGGAGGCUUAUAAACAGACACAUCAAGUGCCUGAUACUCAAUCCAUGGCAGCUCUUAUUGAUAUGAAAAUCUCAUUUGCAGAAGGCUUUUUCUACACAAUUGAAUUGGCCCAGUGAAGUAAUCCUAUUAAAAACAAAAACCUUUCUCAAGAGGCCCCGGAAGAGUUGUGUGUUAUUUGCAUAGAUUUGCAUAUCAAUUCAUAGCUGGUGAAAUUCCUCAUUAAGGAGUGAAUUUCUCCAAGCUGCUGAAGCCCAAGAAGGCAAAUAUUUUGAGCCAAUUAAUUUUAUAGAUCAGGAAAAGUCUCGCUCUCCCUGCUACCUACCUCUCCCCUCCAAAAAAAAGUAAAUAAGACUUCACCCCAAACCCAGGUUUUACUUGGUAAUUCUAACUGGAGAGUGGGGGUGGAAGGGCAGGUAGGUCUACCUGGAUGUUCAUUGGUUGGAGAGUCUGAAGGAAGGAGGCAAGAAACACUUAAAGCCAGGAGCCAGCCCCAAUCCAGAGUCUGCAUCCCUCUCUGAGAAUCAGAUCCUCCGAAUGAAGCCCAGACCAAGGGCUUCUCCAGCACCUUCUCUCCUCUCUACAUCCUUAUUUGAGUCCUCUCACCCGACAUCCACAUUUCCUUUAGUUCCAUCCUUCUUGUCCCUGACACUUUUUCCCUCACCUUCAGUGCCUCCACUUGUAAAAUGGGAAUAAUAAUAACUAAUAAUCCUACCUCUAGGAUUAAGGAGAGGAGGAGAGGCCUAGCACUUAAUGUAGACUGAAUAACCAAGAAAUGUUAGCUGUUUGGUUCGGUUGUCUAUUACUUGCAUAACAAACUACCCUAUAACUUAGUGGCUUAAAACAACAAUGUUGCUUGCUCAAGAUUCUGUGAGUCAGAAAUUUACAGAAGGUUCAGAUGGGAGGCUUGCUCCAUGUGGCAUUGGCUGGGGUCAUUCACUCAGCAGCAUAAGCCAGUGGCUAGGUUGGAGUGGAACUUUCAAGAAGGCUUCACCCAUAUGGGAAGUGCCUCUGUGCUUUUCCCUGUGGCCAUUCUCUCCAUGUGGCUAGCUUGGACUUCCUCACAACAUGGUGGUUGCACACUUUUUUUUUUUUUUUUUUGAGACGGAGUCUCGCUCUGCUGCCCAGGCCAGACUGCAGUGAAGCUAUCUUGGCUCACUACAGGCUCUGCCUCCCGGGUUCACGCCAUUCUCCUUCCUCAGCCUCCCAAGUAGCUGGGACUACAGGCGCCCGCCACCACGCCUGGCUAAUUUUUUGUAUUUUUAGAAGAGACGGGGUUUCACUGUGUUAGCCAGGAUGGUCUCGAUCUUCUGACCUUGUGAUCCGCCCAUCUCGGCCUCCCAAAGUGUUGGGAUUACAGGCGUGAGCCCCAGCGCCCAGCCGGUGGUCGCACACUUUUUAUCUAGCAGCUGGCAUCUAAAAGGAGAUGUUCCAAAGAGGAAAGCAGAGCUGCCAGUCUCCAAGGCUGAGCCUUAGGAAUUAUAGCGUCACUUCCAUUGUGUUCUGUUGGUCAAAACAAGUUCCAGCCUAGCACAAAUAUAAAGGGGGAUGGGAUAAACUCCAUUUCUUAUUUAUUUAUUUAGAGAUGGGGUCUUGCUCUGUUGCCCAGGCUGCAAUGCAGUGGCACAAUCUGACUCACUGCAGCCUCAUCCUCCCAAGCUCAAGCAAUCCUCUCACCUCAGUCUCCUGAGCAGCUGGGAUUAUAGGCAUGGGCCACCAUGCCCGGCUAAUUUUUCUAUUUUUUUGUAAAGACAGGAUCUCCCUGUGUUACCCAGGCUGGUUUCCAACUCCUCAACUCAAGCAGUCCUCCUGCCUCAGCCCCACAAAGUGCUAGGAUUACAGGUAUGAGCCACUGAGCCCAGCCAACUCCAUUCUUGAUAGGAAAGUGGCAAACAAUAUGCAGUCAUCUUUAACCCACAUUGUUGAUGGACAAUCUCAUCCACUUCAUCUAUGGCCCUGAGAAUUCUCCCAAGACAAGAUCACAGAUAUUUUUUCAAAACACUGACCUGAACAUGUCAUCAUCUCUCUCUGUUAAAGCCUCUAAGACCUCCAUUACCUAUAGAAAAAAAUUCAAAUUCCCUAGGUUGACAUUGGAGACCCUUCACAAAUCGUACUCUACCUCUCCAGCCUGACUUCUAGCCGGCAAGCACACAUGUGCACAUACCUCCUACCACAAAUUCACAGACACUGUCACACAAGUAAAAACACACACAUUCAAACAUUUACGUGCUGUUGACUGCCAACUUCCCAGAAAGACCACCAGAAUAACCCAUGCAUCAAACAAAGCCAUGACUUUUUUUUACCAAACUGCUGUCAAGGACAGCAAAUUAACCCUGACCAGGCCAUAGGAGUGUCUCAGAAGGGGGAGACAAGUGACAGAUACCUACUGGGUUUUAGUGUUCGAAUUCAAGUGGUUUGGCCGGGCACAGUGGCUCACGCCUGUAAUCCUAGCACUUUGGAAGGCCGAGGUGGGUGGGUCACCUGAGGUCAGGAGUUCGAGACCAGCCUAGCCAACAUGGUGAAACCUCGUCUCUACCAAAAAUACAAAAAUUAGGCGGGGGUGGUGCGUGCCUGUAAUCCCAACUCCUCGGGAGGCUGGGGCAGGAGAAUUGCUUGAAUCUGGGAGAUGGAGGUUGCAGUGAGCCAAGAUUAUGCCACUGCACAGCAGCCUGGGGGACAGAGCGAGACUCUGUCUCAAAAAAAAUUCAAGUGGUUUAAGGUAGGUCUUUGAAUGUGGGGAACUGACUACAGUUGGGCAAAGUUCGUGAUGUUCUAGUUUAGAAUGAAGGGCCACAAUGGGGCAAGAGCCAUAAAGCAAGUCUUGAUUAGGAUGCAAUUGUUUGGCAAGUAAACCUUCUUCCCAGGUGAGCAUCCAACUGUCCUGAGAAGGGGGCCUACAUGCCCAAAUAUGCAACAUCUUGUUUAAAUAGGUUUUCAAGAAUUUCCAAAGCAAACAGUGAGGUAUUUACUGGUUUACAGUUUUAUCUUCUCAGGCAAGAAUGUUCUGGAAUAAAUGGUCAUGUUGACACAGGUGGUUUCAGUCUUCAGUCCUGAUAACUAAGCCACGGGGACCUCUGUCCUCAACACACACAGUCACUCUCUCGCCCACAUCAGCCAGACUCUGAGUGACCUUCGUCUUCCCCAGUCUCCACCUUUUUUUUUUUUUUUUGGAGACAGAGUCUCACUCCGUCACCCAGGCUGGAGUGCAGUGGCACAAUCUCGGCUCAUUGCAAC